UUUCAUCGCACGUAUAAUGCAGAGGUAGAAGGGGUGGAUCAUAAAUCGCCCCCCACCCUCUCAAACCCCACCCAAACUUGCAGGGUUCGCGCCGCACUUUCCAUUCGCUCUCGCGCUCAGGCAGCCAUGUGAUGAAGUUCUGCUCUUCCCUCACACCUUCUCAUCCUGUGGAUGGAAUAAGAUGCUUUCAAACGACGAUGCCUCGUGCAUCUCCAGCAAACGAGUCGUGGAAGGAUUUCGUGGAUGUGAUUUCUAAUCGAGGAUGUUCGUUUAUCCGUUUCACAUCCAGAUGAGCUGUUUUCGGUGCCAUGGGGAGUCCAAGGAGAAUAGGCAGCUGGAGCUCGGAGUCGCCCGCAGGAGGAAGUGGAGGCAGCGCUGCCUCAUGAGGCUGAUGCAACAUGAGGGAUGGAAGACAAAUGAAGGAUGCUAAAGGAAGCAUGGGAAAGAUGUGAUCUGGAUACUUUCAAUCACUUCAGUGAAAAUAGCAUCAAUCAGAGCUCACAUAUCAUCAUACGAAGAUGCCGAAGAUGGU
rnacentral:lncRNA from 1 species